UUUGUGCAAGGGGCUGUCAGGCUGCUGUAGCAAGUGUCUCGGAACGAGCAAUCGGAAGCCCAAAAGAGAAGGCACUAGAAAAAUUUCCUCGCGGUGCUACGGGGAGUGGAGACCUGCUCGUGCCGUGGUCUUGGAGCUGACACAGCCCUCCUGCACUCCCGGGACAGCUGUGACAAAGGAGGCCAGAUUAAUCAACUAUUGAUCAUCCUUCAGCUUUCCGAGAAGCCAAGCAUGUGAUCACUGUGUGCUGAGCUCUCCCCGUGAAAAACCUCUGGGCACGGAGAUUAAACGUCCUGCCCAGCCUCUCCCAGAGGGUUGGAAUACCGUAUGGACCAAAGAUGCGACUCUGAAGCAGUGUGGCCUAAUCCCAGCUGCCGCGUGUCCUGGAGCUGUGCCUGGGUUAAGCCUGGUUUAUUUGACCAAAUAUUUGCUUGGCCUCUCGGGUGGAGCUGGCAGCCUGUGCAGAGCUCUCUGCAGCAAGGAGGUGUGUGUUCCGUGGCGACGAUACAAGUUUCCCUGUCCUGCUGCGUUUCCCAUCCCUAGGCUCGGCUCAGCACCCACCUGGAGACAUUUGGUCGCCAACAUAGAGCCAGUGGGCCAGAUUCGCCGCUUAAAUCUGCUCCUUGCUUUUGUGAUGGCAUCACAGUGGGGUUUUUCUGUAUGGUGUGCGUGUACUGAGAACAGAAUCGGGUUCAGUCCUUCCACAGUAUGAAUGGAGACUUGGUCCUUGCCUUUUCCACUCCAAAGUGAAGUGUUCAGAAACCAUUUGAAUGGAAAAUUAAAGUGCCUUGCACAUACGGGGAGGGCAAGAAAUCAUCAUUUAUUUGUAGGCAAGUGACAAUUUCUAAUCUCAGCAUUGUGAAGGAUCUGAUUUACACCAGAACUGCUUAUCUUUAUGCCAUUGCUAACCUCUAGCUUCCCUUUCUCAGCACUGUGCCAAUAACACAGCUGUUGU